rnacentral:lncRNA from 1 species
CAAUCAAAGGAGCACACAUGCAUGCCCAGCCCAACCUCUCUAUCUGCGUACACACGGUGCACCCCUGAAAACCAAGGAAAAGAAUGCUUAUGCGACGCUGAAGGAGCUGGCCGCCUUCUCGACGCCCUUCCUGGCGCCCUUGAACCACCUCUUGUCGCCGGCCUGCGCCUUGCAGAUGUAGAGCUUGCCGUCCGAGACGGUGGCCGUGAUGAGCUGGUGCUUGCCGCCCUCGUCGCCGUCCGCCGUCCUCGUCAGCACCGACACGCUGUAGUACUGCUUCCCGUCCACCACCGGCGCCGAGCUCUCCAGGAUGUUGGCUGUCGCCACCGCGUCGGUCUCGAACCCGCCCUGCACGCGCAAGCACAGGUAAAUAGCCGUCGCCGAAUGAAUCAGAGAUUAAUUAGAUGCAGCAUGUGAACUAGUAGAACUAGAACAAACCUCGGAGUCAGUCUUGCCGCUGUAGGCCUGCUUGCCGAGGAGGUAGUCGACCUGGGCGAGGAACUGCUCCGGGGAGCCGAACUCGGUGAUGGUCUUCUUGGUGGUGGGCUGGACCAUGACGGAGACGUUGCUGUUGGCGUCGAAGUUGUCCUCGUAGCGGAGGACCUGGCCGGGGAACUCGCGCUCCUUGCUGGGGUUCCACUUGGACGGGAUCAGCAGCUUGAACCCGUCGCCGCUGUAGGCGAUGAAGUCCGUGUUCGCCUUGGGCUUCCCGAACACGUUGGCUGCAACCAAGCAAGCAAGCGCGAUUGCAAUCAAGAUUCAAUAACCGACCGAGAUCCAUCAAGCUACCCAGGAGCUGAGACAUUAAGCGCGUGUUGUUACCUGCUUCUCCGUAGGCGGCGGCGGCGGGGCUCACCUUGGCGCCGACGGCGGCGACGCCGGCGAGGAGCGUGAGCGCGGCGCGGCGGGUGACCGCGGCGGCGUCACCGCUCUCGGCGGCGGCGUCCUGCCUCUGCGCCUUGCAGACGAGCUGGGCCCGCGGCACCUGGGGGCGCGCCGAGGCGGCGGCGGCGCCGAGGCGAGCGGUGGACUGGAGGAGGAAGCAGGAGGUGGACGCCAUGGCUGCCGCUCGUUGCUCGCUAGCUGGCUCCUGCUGCUGCUGCUACUAUCUUCCUCUAGAAGACUUGUGGAUGCACCGGACGCUACGAGUGAUAACGAGGGGAGGGACCGAGGGAGCGGUGGGGUCGGCACGGCGAGGCUUCGUUUGGUGUGCGGC